UUGGGUGCUGCUCACUGGGUUCCCUGGACCCCCCCAGACCCCCAAACCCCCUGUCUGGCUGCUGGCUUCCAGCUGAACUUGGGGCUGUGCUUAUUUUCUUGGAGGUGGGGGGGCUGCCCUUGGUGUGCACCCCUGUUCUGGGGGGGUAUCCCCUCAGCAGUGGAUGCAGGGAGGCUAUUUUUAAUUUUGCAGGUGUUUUUUGUGGCAGCAGCAGGAGAAUUGUCCCUGCAGGUAUGUGGGGUGCAGUCCUGGGGGGGGUCAGGGGAAGGUGAUGGUGGCUGGGGGCACAGAAGAUGCAUGGUUAAUUAUUUGUGGCAAUAAUUAGAUUUUAUUGGGGGGGUUGUUGGGGAGAAGUUGACUUCUGGAGGGCUCUGGUGUGGGAAUUGGGGACAAUAUUCCCUUUAUGGCCAGCUCUGGUUGGUGGGGUUGAGGGUCUUGGUGUUUUGCAGCUUCUGGUGAUUUGGGGGGGGUGUCUGCUGGGCUUGUCCCCCCCCCCGAACUGGGAUGUGUGGCAUUUUUGUGUGUUGAACUGGUCUUUAUUUCAGGUGGCUGGCAGCAGAGCAGAAGAGCUGAGGAUGAUGAGGGGCUGUUGGUGGUUGGAGGAAGAUGAAGAUGUUUUGGUGGCUGGAGGAGGAUGAAGACUUCCUGCUCUCCCUCCGGUGUGUGGCCACCAGCCUGGGCUGGGAGAUGGCCCCUGCGUGUUUGGCUGUGGCUGGCUGCUGGUCGCCUGGACCUGGCUUGGGAUUAACAGGUAAUAAAUAGAAUUAAUAGCCAAUAAAUUGAAUUAAC
rnacentral:lncRNA from 1 species